AGAGUUUGAUCAUGGCUCACGAUGACGCUGGCGGCGUGCUUACACAUGCAGUUGCGCGGGAUUUGACGAUGAGACUUCGUGAUUGUUAGAUCCAAGCGGCGGACGGGUGAGUAAAGCACAAGGACGUGUCCGAGCGAGGGGGACAACUGCGGGAAACCGUAGCUAAUACCCCGUAAGCCGAGAGGUGAAAGCAGCAAUGCGCGAGCGGAGCGACUUGUGUCCUAUCAGGUAGUUGGUGAGGCAACGGCUCACCAAGCCGAAGACGGGUAGCCGGACUGAGAGGUUGUACGGCCACAUUGGAACUGAGAAACGGUCCAGACUCCUACGGGAGGCAGCAGUGGGGAAUAUUGGGCAGUGGGGGCAACCCUGACCCACCGACGCCGCGUGAGGGAAGACAGCCUUCGGGUUGUAAACCUCUGUUGCAGGGGAAGAAGGACGUGACGGUACCCUGCGAGGAAGCUCCGGCUAACUACGUGCCAGCAGCCGCGGUAAUACGUAGGGAGCGAGCGUUGUCCGGAAUUACUGGGCGUAAAGGCGCGAGGCGGUUUGCAGUCAACUGUCAAAUCGCGGGCUAACCCCGCUCCGCAGUUGAAACUGUAGACUGAGCACAGAG
rnacentral:rRNA from 1 species